rnacentral:rRNA from 1 species
AUUUUCCGCAAUGGGCGAAAGCCUGACGGAGCAAUACCGCGUGAGGGAGGAAGGUUCUUGGAUUGUAAACCUCUUUUCUCUGGGAAGAAAAAAAUGACGGUACCAGAGGAAUAAGCAUCGGCUAACUCCGUGCCAGCAGCCGCGGUAAUACGGAGGAUGCAAGCGUUAUCCGGAAUUAUUGGGCGUAAAGCGUCCGUAGGUGGUUUUUCAAGUCUGCUGUCAAAGCCUGGGGCUUAACCCCAGAUAGGCAGUGGAAACUGGGAGACUAGAGUUCGGUAGGGGUAGCGGGAAUUCCCAGUGUAGCGGUGAAAUGCGUAGAUAUUGGGAAGAACAUCGGUGGCGAAGGCGCGCUACUGGGCCGAAACUGACACUCACAGGACGAAAGCUAGGGGAGCGAAAGGGAUUAGAUACCCCUGUAGUCCUAGCUGUAAACGAUGGAAACUAGGUGUGGCUUGUAUCGACCCGAGCCGUGCCGAAGCUAACGCGUUAAGUUUCCCGCCUGGGGAGUACGCACGCAAGUGUGAAACUCAAAGGAAUUGACGGGGGCCCGCACAAGCGGUGGAGUAUGUGGUUUAAUUCGAUGCAACGCGAAGAACCUUACCAGGGCUUGACAUGUCGCGAAUCCUCUAGAAAUAGAGGAGUGCCUUCGGGAGCGCGAACACAGGUGGUGCAUGGCUGUCGUCAGCUCGUGUCGUGAGAUGUUGGGUUAAGUCCCGCAACGAGCGCAACCCUCGUUUUUAGUUGCCAUCAUUAAGUUGGGCACUCUAGAGAGACUGCCGGUGACAAACCGGAGGAAGGUGAGGAUGACGUCAAGUCAGCAUGCCCCUUACGCCCUGGGCGACACACGUACUACAAUGGUUGGGACAACGGGCAGCAAACCCGCGAGGGCAAGCGAAUCUCAUCAAACCCAGCCUCAGUUCAGAUUGCAGGCUGCAACUCGCCUGCAUGAAGGAGGAAUCGCUAGUAAUCGCAGGUCAGCAUACUGCGGUGAAUUCGUUCCCGGGCCUUGUACACACCGCC